AUGGCUCAGAUUGAACGCUGGCGGCGUGCUUAACACAUGCAAGUCGCGCGUGAAAGGACUUCGGUCCGAGUAAAGCGGCGCACGGGUGAGUAACGCGUGGAUGAUCUACCCAUGAGUUAGGAAUAACGGCUGGAAACGGUCGCUAAUACCAAAUACGCUCCGAUUUCAACUUCGGGGGAAAGGUGGCCUCUGCUUGCAAGCUACUGCUCAUGGAUGAGUCCGCGUCCCAUUAGCUAGUUGGUGGGGUAACGGCCCACCAAGGCGACGAUGGGUAGCCGGUCUGAGAGGAUGACCGGCCACACUGGGACUGGAACACGGCCCAGACUCCUACGGGAGGCAGCAGUGGGGAAUAUUGCGCAAUGGGCGAAAGCCUGACGCAGCGACGCCGCGUGAGGGAUGAAGGUCCUCGGAUCGUAAACCUCUGUCAGGAGGGAAGAACCGCCACGGUGCUAAUCAGCCGUGGUCUGACGGUACCUCCAAAGGAAGCACCGGCUAACUCCGUGCCAGCCGCAGC
rnacentral:rRNA from 1 species